rnacentral:miRNA from 1 species
AACAACUUGUAACAAACUUGACGGCAUUAUCAGACUUGUUACAAGGUUGUUCUAACAAGUUUGAUACAGUCAUGAUAUAACAAGAAUGUUACAAGGUUGACGACACAAAGUUGUAACAAUAUUGUUAUAACAACCUUGCAACAAGUAUGAUAAUAUCAACAAGGUUGUUACAAGUUGUU